CAUCCGCGUACACAUCCACGCCCCGGGGGCGCGGCCGCCACGUGGGGAGUGGCGCGGGGGAGGCCCUGGGACCGCGCCCCCUCUAGCCCUGGCUGCGUGGGCCCCGCUUUUCCCCGAGCGCGGGAGACUCCGGGCCCGGCCGGUCCCACGUUCCACGCGAGCUGAAUUCCUGCACGCGUCCCAGCGGGGCGGCCGGAGGCGGCGGAGGGGAUCGCGGGCUCCGGGAGGCGCUCGGGUUCCGAGAAGCGACUCAGUCCCGCGCUCCUCCUUCCGCAGUGCCGCGGCCGGCGGGGCCAGGAUUCCUGCGGGCUUGGCGGCUGCGGGCGCGAGGCGGCGCGGGUUCCCGGCGCGUCUGCUCACCUCGCCCGCCUCGCCUCCCCGGCCGCCGCCUCCAGCGUGCGCAGAGCGCUCCCCCGCGUGCCCGCUCCGCGCGUCUCGGUUUUCCCUCUUCUCCCCCCAGACCCAGCGUCACAGCUGAGCCGACCUCUGUGGCCUUGAGAGCGCGCGGGGCGCGCGCGGAGAUGGGCAUCCUCGUGUCCACGCCUCGCGCGGCCACUCCUUCUCCGGGCACCGCGGCCCAGGGUGGGGUGGGAGCAGAGAGUGAUAAUUGAAGUCCUUGUCACCAUCGUUGGAAGAGCCAGGUGCCUGCCAGGCCUGGGACUGACUUUGGGAUCUCACUGAAGGCUGUGGUAGGUGAUCGGUGGCCUGGGCAGGAGGGAGGGCAGUUCCUUUGGGUUUGUGCGUGUUGCGGUGUUUGCAGUCGUGUGUAGAUGGCCCCGGAUAUAUGGUGACUGUAAGUUAGCGAGCCUGUAUGUGGCAUGCUCCCAUGGACUCAUGUUUAUAUUCUGUAGUUGCCCAUAAAUAGUUGUGUGCUGGUGCUGGGUUUGUGUUAAUACAUGUGCAUUAGUGUCUGUAAUGUAUCAGUGUUUCCAUUUGAGAGUGGUUUUAAUAUUCCUUUUUGCUUUUGGGAAACUGUUUUAUUGUGUGUGUGAAUAUAUCCCCUCCUGUGAGAAACCACACCUUCUUCACCACAGGGUGGCUCUUGAGAGAAAGAAGGUAGAAUGGCAGGGAGGUUCCAACCUGCACCUGCUGGGGGGUGUGGACCAAGGCUUAUUUACAUAUUCAUGAGUGGGCAGCCUGGUUGAGAAGAGCUGCAAUCUUUCUUCUUGUUUUUUUUUUUUUUUUUAAAGAUUUAUUUGAGGCCGGCACUGUGGCAUAGUGGGCUAAGCCUCCGCCUCCAGUACCGGCAUCCCAUAUGGGUGCUGGUUCGUAUCCCGGCUGCUCCUCAUCCCAUCCAGCUCUCUGCUAUGGCCUAGGAAAGCAGUAGAAGAUGGCCCAAGUCCCUGGGUCCCUGCACCCACAUGGGUUUCUGGUUUCUCUCUCUCUCUCUUUUUUUUGACAGGCAGAGUGGACAGUGAGAGAGAGAGAGACAGGGAGAAAGGUCUUCCUUUUCUGUUGGUUCACCCCCCAAUGGCUGCCGCGGCCAGUGCGCUGUGGCUGGUGCACUGCGCUGAUCCAAAGCCAGGAGCCAGGUGCUUAUCCUGGUCUCCCAUGCAGGUGUAGGGCCCAAAGACUUGGGCCAUCCUCCACUGCCUUCCUGGGCCACAGCAGAGAGCUGGCCUGGAAGAGGGGCAACUGGGACAGAAUCCGGCGCCCCGAUUGGGACUAGAACCCGGUGUGCCGGCGCCGCAAGGUGGAGGAUUAGCCUAUUGAGCCGCGGCUCCGGCUUGCGUGUGUUUUUAAGAUUUAUUUAUUUGAAAGAGACACAGAGAUUUUCCAUCCACUGGUUUACUCUCCAAAUGCUCAUAGUGGUUAGGUCAAAGCCAGGAGCCAGAAACUGCAUCCUGGUCUCCCAUGUGGUUGACAGGGGGCAAACACCCGGGAUGCGAACUGGUACCAGUAUGGGAUGACGUCACAGGCAGUGCCUUUCCCUGUUACAUCACAAUGCCGCCCCAGAAAUUAAAUCUUGAAGAGACUCAGUCUGAGCCUGGAGGCAGAUGGGGUGGUGAGGCUCCACGACUCCCACAUUCCAGGUAUAGUGGCUACCGCCUGCAUCAUGGCCAGGUAGCAUCCCACCUGCACUGUUCCUGAAAACCGACUUCCGCAUAACACACGCAACUCUUCUUCCUGGUGCAUCAGCAGGGAGCGGGAUCGGAAGCGGAGCAGCCGGGACUCCAACUAGUGCUCUGAGAGGGGACGCUGGCACUGCAGGAGUGGCUUAACCGGCUCAGUCUUAGGGAGGAGGAGAUUAAAGCCUGAGGAAGGAAGAAAGUGGCCCAGGUUCGUAGUCCAGGACAUAAUCUUAGCUACCACGUAUCAGCAUCUACAAAUGCUGGGGCUUUCACAUCUAGUCUUUGGUUUAUUUCCUUAGCGGUCUGAUUUUGCAGGUGAAUCAGGCUCAGAGAGUUACGGUAAUUUGUGCGAGGUCACACAGCAGUUGGGCCAAGGCCCAGAGUGCAGAUCUGUCUGACACCACAGCUUGAGUGGUUCCUCUGUCCUCUCCUACUUCCCAAAUUCCAGGACCCAGGGCUGCUGAAUCCUGGGCUGGGAGCUUUUCUGUACUGGCUGCAGCUCCUGUGGGAAGCAGGCAGCGCCCCGGGGGUGUGGUGGUGGGGGGUGUAGAACCGCGGGUGAGAGAAGUGGAGGGAGCCGGGGGUGGGGCCUUGGUCGGACACGCUCAGAGCUAGUGGGGAGAGGGGCUCCCCAAGCCCCGCGGAAGACCCAGCCGGGCGGCCCCCAGCAGCCUGGCGCGCUCUCCCUGGGGGCUGAGCGCCUUUCCGCCUCAGCCCGCCUGAUUGGGGCAGAGCAGGCUUCAUGUAUUAUUAAUAGCACCGCCAGCCUUCCUGUUUUCACGCUGAUAACCUGCCGGGGAGGACGGCGGGGAGAGAGGGAGCAAGGUGGCAAACCCUGCCGCUGCCAGGCCUCCCCCUCGGAGGAGCCGCGCUGCCUGCGGGGGCUGGCCCGGCCCCAAGUCUCUGAACUUGGUUUCUGCAGCCUCCCCCAACCCCAGCGAGCAAGGGAGCACAGGGGAGGGGCCCAGGCCCUCUGCGGGGAGCUCUCGGAGAAGGAGCCCAGCCCGCAGUGCAUCCGGGACACCAGGGGCUCCAGUCACCUUGGCUUCUGGAGAGGCAGGUGUGGCCACACCCAAGUGGACAGGGGGCUGUGCGCGCGUGGGCUCUCGUCUAUGUGUCCGCGCAUGCGUGGGACAGAGUCCUCUGGGGCCGGGAUCUCCAGCCGGCCUCUCCCGGCUCCACCCCAUGCCUUCCAGAGCCCGGCAGGGGCGCAGGGGCAGGGCACAGGGCCUGGGCUGGGGAGAGGCUACCCUCUCUGAGCCCAGGUGCUCACUGGAGGUGGCCAGUGUGGGCCUGCAUGCGCCAUUUGGGCAUCCCUGCUCAACUCCCGCCCCCACCACCCCAGGUU